rnacentral:rRNA from 1 species
UACAGAGGGGGCAAGCGUUGUUCGGAAUUACUGGGCGUAAAGGGCGCGUAGGUGGCCUUAUAAGUUGAACGUGAAAUCCCUGGGCUCAACCCAGGAACUGCGUCCAAGACUGGGAGGCUUGAAUCCGGGAGAGGGAUGCGGAAUUCCAGGUGUAGCGGUGAAAUGCGUAGAUAUCUGGAGGAACACCGGUGGCGAAGGCGGCAUCCUGGACCGGUAUUGACACUGAGGCGCGAAAGCCAGGGGAGCAAACGGG